rnacentral:lncRNA from 1 species
CCGGUCCCCGACUGUCCUGUCUGCACACCUCUGUCACGCUCACAUGUGCGUGCGGGGCCCCAGGGCUUGUGCUGUGUGUCACUCUCUGGGGCCACCGACACAGCCCAGCAGCCCUUCUUUGGCUCUUGGUCACUUGUGGCCUGGUCACUUCUGGUCUCCUCACAGCACCCCCGACCCCCUGCCUUCGUUUGUCACACUUCUUCCCAUUACAAGCCACCUGCAGCAGUGCUGAGGUCCCUGUCCCUUCCUGCCAUGCUCCCAAGGGUCUCUGGGAAUUGGCCUUCCAGAAGCUUCCAGGGCCCCCAUCUGCCCACCCUCCAGGCCCUGCAGGAAGCUCCCUGGUGGCCCCUUGGUGACACCGGGCUUCUGACUGGUUUCCGUAUCCUGGGUCCAGCCUGGGGGCCUGGGUGCCAGGAGGGAGGGACAGGGGACACUCCCUGGGGAACCCUGAGCCUCGUUCUGUGCUAGGAAACCUCCCGCUGCUGUCCCCACCCUUGGGCAGGAAUGCUGGGGACACAGCGCAGGGACGUCGCCUGGUCUGCUCUGUCCGCCUUCAGACCAAAGCCUUCUCAGGAUUUUCUGUCACUUUGGAGGUCAGCACCAGGCCCUCACAGAAAUAGUGUGACACACUCUGAUCAUCGUCCAGGAGGCGGAAAGAACAUUCCACACCACCUGGGGUUCCCUCCCGCCAGAGACCCUGCGCAGAUUUCCAAUAGAAGAUCCAAAGGUGAAUGGACGCGGUGGUGUCUGUCAUGCCAGCAGCUGGGGAGG